rnacentral:rRNA from 1 species
GACGAACGCUGGCGGCGUGCCUAAUACAUGCAAGUUGAGCGCUGAAGGUUGGUACUUGUACCAACUGGAUGAGCAGCGAACGGGUGAGUAACGCGUGGGGAAUCUGCCUUUGAGCGGGGGACAACAUUUGGAAACGAAUGCUAAUACCGCAUAAAAACUUUAAACACAAGUUUUAAGUUUGAAAGAUGCAAUUGCAUCACUCAAAGAUGAUCCCGCGUUGUAUUAGCUAGUUGGUGAGGUAAAGGCUCACCAAGGCGAUGAUACAUAGCCGACCUGAGAGGGUGAUCGGCCACAUUGGGACUAAGACACGGCCCAAACUCCUACGGGAGGCAGCAGUAGGGAAUCUUCGGCAAUGGACGAAAGUCUGACCGAGCAACGCCGCGUGAGUGAAGAAGGUUUUCGGAUCGUAAAACUCGGUUGGUAGAGAAGAACGUUGGUGAGAGUGGAAAGCUCAUCAAGUGACGGUAACUACCCAGAAAGGGACGGCUAACUACGUG